rnacentral:rRNA from 1 species
GGGAGGUAGUGACAAUAAAUAACAAUACGGGGUUCUUUCGGAUCUCGUAAUUGGAAUGAGUACAAUUUAAAUCUCUUAACGAGGAACAAUUGGAGGGCAAGUCUGGUGCCAGCAGCCGCGGUAAUUCCAGCUCCAAUAGCGUAUAUUAAAGUUGUUGCAGUUAAAAAGCUCGUAGUUGAAUUUCGGGGUCAGCAAGUUGGUCGUGCCACUGGUAUGCACUGGCUUUGCUGAUUCCUCCUUCUUGUAGAACCGUAAUGCCAUUAAGUUGGUGUUGCGGGGAAACAGGACUGUUACUUUGAAAAAUUAGAGUGUUUAAAGCAGGCUAACGCUUGAAUACAUUAGCAUGGAAUAAUGAAAUAGGACGACGAUCCUAUUUUGUUGGUUUCUAGGAUUGACGUAAUGAUUAAUAGGGAUAGUUGGG